rnacentral:rRNA from 1 species
GGCGGCGGCCUAACACAUGCAAGUCGAGGGGCAGCGACAUCAACAAUCCUUCGGGUGCGUUGAUGGGCGGCGAGCGGCGGACGGGUGAGUAAUGCCUGGGAACAUGCCUUAGUGUGGGGGAUAACCAUUGGAAACGAUGGCUAAUACCGCAUAAUCUCUACGGAGCAAAGCGGGGGACCAUCGGGCCUCGCGCGCUAAGUUUGGCCCAGGUGGGAUUAGCUAGUAGGUGGGGUAACGGCUCACCUAGGCGCCGAUCCCUAGCUGGUCUGAGAGGAUGAUCAGCCACACUGGAACUAAGACACGGUCCAGACUCCUACGGGAGGCAGCAGUGGGGAAUAUUGCACAAUGGGGGAAACCCUGAUGCAGCCAUGCCGCGUGUGUGGAGAAGCCCUUCGGGUUGUAAAGCACUUUCAGCAGUGAGGAAGAGGUGGUGUUUAAUAGAUGYCAUCUUUGACGUUAGCUGCAGAAGAAGCACCGGCUAACUCCGUGCCAGCAGCCGCGGUAAUACGGAGGGUGCGAGCGUUAAUCGGAAUUACUGGGCGUAAAGCGCUUGCAGGCGGCGUGUUAAGCCAGAUGUGAAAGCCCGGGGCUCAACCUCGGAAUCGCAUUUGGAACUGGCAUGCUAGAGUCUUGUAGAGGGGGGUAGAAUUUCAGGUGUAGCGGUGAAAUGCGUAGAGAUCUGAAGGAAUACCGGUGGCGAAGGCGGCCCCCUGGACAAAGACUGACGCUCGGAUGCGAAAGCGUGGGGAGCAAACAGGAUUAGAUACCCUGGUAGUCCACGCCGUAAACGAUGUCUACUUGGAGGUUGGUGUCUUGAACACUGGCUUUCGGAGCUAACGCGUUAAGUAGACCGCCUGGGGAGUACGGUCGCAAGAUUAAAACUCAAAUGUAUUGACGGGGGCCCGCACAAGCGGUGGAGCAUGUGGUUUAAUUCGAUGCAACGCGAAGAACCUUACCUAC